GAUGAAGAACGUAGCGAAAUGCGAUAAGUAAUGUGAAUUGCAGAAUUCAGUGAAUCAUCGAAUCUUUGAACGCACCUUGCGCCCUUUGGCCAUUCCGAAGGGCAUGCCUGUUUGAGUAUCAUGAACACCUCAACUCUUCAUGGUUUUCCAUGAUGAGCUUGGACUUUGGGGGUCUUGCUGGCCUGUGGGUCGGCUCCGCUCAAAUGAAUCAGCUUGCCGGUUUUUGGUGGGCAUCACAGGUGUGAUAACUAUCUACGCUUGUGGUUUUCCACCAGGGUAACCUUCAGCAGUGGAGGUUCACUGGAGCUUACAAAUGUCUCUCCUCUGUGAGGACAGCCCUUUGAAUGUUUGAUCUCAAAUCAGGUAGGACUACCCGCUGAACUUAAGCAUAUCAAUAAGCGGAGGA
rnacentral:misc_RNA from 1 species